UGCAGUCGACGCUUUUGUUUCCCGGGUGCUUGCACCCACCGAGACAAAAGAGUGGCGGACGGGUGAGUAACACGUGGGUAACCUGCCCAUAAGAGGGGGAUAACAUCCGGAAACGGAUGCUAAUACCGCAUAUUUCCAAUUGUCUCCUGACAGAUGGAAAAAAGGUGGCUUCGGCUACCGCUUAUGGAUGGACCCGCGGCGUAUUAGCUAGUUGGUGAGGUAAUGGCUCACCAAGGCGAUGAUACGUAGCCGACCUGAGAGGGUGAUCGGCCACACUGGGACUGAGACACGGCCCAGACUCCUACGGGAGGCAGCAGUAGGGAAUCUUCCGCAAUGGACGAAAGUCUGACGGAGCAAUGCCGCGUGAGUGAAGAAGGUUUUCGGAUCGUAAAACUCUGUUGUUAGAGAAGAACAAGGAUGAGAGUAACUGCUCAUCCCCUGACGGUAUCUAACCAGAAAACCACGGCUAACUACGUGCC
rnacentral:rRNA from 1 species